UACGUAGGGGGCAAGCGUUGUCCGGAAUUAUUGGGCGUAAAGAGCGUGUAGGCGGCCAGAUAAGUCCGCUGUGAAAUCUCGGGGCUCAACUUCGAGCUGUCGGUGGAAACUAUCUGGCUAGAGUCCGGAAGAGGAGAAUGGAAUUCCUGGUGUAGCGGUGAAAUGCGCAGAUAUCAGGAAGAACACCCGUGGCGAAGGCGGUUCUCUGGGACGGUACUGACGCUGAGACGCGAAAGCGUGGGGAGCGAACAGG
rnacentral:rRNA from 1 species